UACGUAGGCAGCAAGCGUUGUUCGGAGUUACUGGGCGUAAAGGGUGUGUAGGCGGUUCUUUAAGUUUGGUGUGAAAUCUCCCGGCUCAACUGGGAGGGUGCGCCGAAUACUGAAUGACUUCGAGUGCGGGAGAGGAGAGUGGAAUUCCUGGUGUAGCGGUGAAAUGCGUAGAUAUCAGGAGGAACACCAGUGGCGAAGGCAGGCUUGCUGGACGGCGACUGACGCUGAGACGACGAAGCGUGGGGAGCGAAACAGG
rnacentral:rRNA from 1 species